rnacentral:snRNA from 13 species
AUCAAUAAAACUUUUCCAAAAGAAAAAUCUGUUCUUAUCAGUUUAAUAUCUGAUACGUCCCCUAUCUGGGGACCAUAUAUUAAAUUGAUUUUUGGAAUAGGGAGAUGGAAUAGGGGCUUGCUCCGUCCACUCCACGCAUCGACCUGGUAUUGCAGUACUUCCAGGAACGGUGCACCCCCU